rnacentral:lncRNA from 1 species
UCUCCGGAAGCUGAUGUAGAAAACCUCACAAUCUCUGAACAGGCAGAGGGCUCCCUGCCAAGGCCGCCGCUACCAAACUUGGCCGGAGAGGGUCCACUCAGCGAUUUCUCAGGUGGAAAUGUAAAAUUUUCUGAUGUAAGAGAGAUGUUUUGAGAAUGAGUGGAAUUUGGAUUUCCGUUGUGACUGAUGAAAGAGAAGUGUGGAGACAACCUCAGAAUAUAGUUCGAAUUAAACAGUUUGGUAGAAUGGCAGAAUAAACAAAAAAACAGCUAAUUGUAAACUAUAUGCUAAUUUAUUCAAGCUUUUAUGUUUGUUGAGAAAGUCAUGUUUCUAGUUGCUAUGAUUUUAGGUACUAUUUGGUAGAAGGGAAUCAAGGAGCCGAUCAAUUAGCAAUUGAACAAUUCUAGUGGAGAAGAUGUAGCUACAUCAAUGGUCGGAGUGGAGAAAAGAGUACCUGUUUGACUUCUAGUGGAGAACCGAGGUGUGUCCAUAGGAGGGUAUGUCCCGGCUAUGAUUGACCGAAGACGAUGGAUCGGCGACGAUUGACCGGCAACGAUUGACUGGCGACGUUGGACCGGCGACGCUGGUGCCGAAUCGCCGAUGGUUGAUAUGUCGAUUUAGGGCAAAGAGGAGAGAUGUGGUGACUAGAGAGGCGCGGUGACUUUGAGUUUGAACAUUACGAUGAAAACAGUAAAAGGACAUCUCAACUUUUUCCCCAAUUCAGUAAAAGAUAAAAGGGGCAAGAAUAAUUUUAGGUCGUCUAUAUUGAGAAGGGUAGUAUGGUAAAUAUGUUUGAUGAGAAGGUUUUGUUAGUUGUGGAGUGUACAGGGACUUGAAUAAAGACUUCAAAUAAAAUGAGUCUUUGGAAAAAUAUGUUGGUAAAUAAAAUAGGGAAAGCUCCGGUCAUUUUCAAAAAUAAAAAAAUAUAUAUUAAUUAAUGACAACAAUUAAUAGUCACUAACUAUUUUUCGGUUUGUAAAUCAGUGACCAUCAUUGAGUCGUCACA